CUCCUGGGAAACGGGUGGUAAUGCCGGAUGCUCCAGUUGAUCGCAUGGUCUUCUGGGAAAGCUUUCGCGGUAUGGGAUGGGGUCGCGUCCUAUCAGCUUGACGGCGGGGUAACGGCCCACCGUGGCUUCGACGGGUAGCCGGCCUGAGAGGGCGACCGGCCACAUUGGGACUGAGAUACGGCCCAGACUCCUACGGGAGGCAGCAGUGGGGAAUAUUGCACAAUGGGCGCAAGCCUGAUGCAGCGACGCCGCGUGAGGGAUGGAGGCCUUCGGGUUGUAAACCUCUUUUAUCGGGGAGCAAGCGAGAGUGAGUUUACCCGUUGAAUAAGCACCGGCUAACUACGUGCCAGCAGCCGCGGUAAUACGUAGGGUGCAAGCGUUAUCCGGAAUUAUUGGGCGUAAAGGGCUCGUAGGCGGUUCGUCGCGUCCGGUGUGAAAGUCCAUCGCUUAACGGUGGAUCCGCGCCGGGUACGGGCGGGCUUGAGUGCGGUAGGGGAGACUGGAAUUCCCGGUGUAACGGUGGAAUGUGUA
rnacentral:rRNA from 1 species